rnacentral:lncRNA from 1 species
AACAAUGUUCUUUAUUAAUCAAUGAUUGGAUUAUGGUAAUCUAAUUAAUUAUCUCUAUAGUAGAGAUGAUAUGGUAGUGUUAACUGUUUAGAAAAUAAUGAUGCUUAAAACCCAAAAGAUUGCAAGGUAGUGACUAAUCUCAACUAAAGUUGUGAUACCUCUAAAACAUAAAUUACGAGUUGGUCAUAAAUGGACGCUUUGGAUCGUUAGAUCCGGAUCCAAUACCUUCUUGUUAAAAUUGUAUGGAGGCGAAAUGUUCGAAUCUUUAUUCUUUUGGAAAGAAGAAAGAAUCACAAAGUUGUUGAGGGUAAUUCACUUAGAUGUUAGUGGCACUUGUCCACAAACAUAAUACUACUCAUGUUGAAUUACAUUCACCGAAGAUCACUCUCGGUUGGACUAUAGUUUAUUUUGAAUAAACACAAGUCCGAAUACUUUGCAA